CCUACGGGAGGCAGCAGUAGGGAAUCUUUCACAAUGGGCGAAAGCCUGAUGGAGCAACGCCGCGUGCAGGAUGCAGGCCUUCGGGUUGUAAACUGCUUUUAUAAGCGAGAAAUAUGAUGGUAACUUAUGAAUAAGGAUCGUCUAACUACGUGCCAGCAGCCGCGGUCAUACGUAGGAUCCGAGCAUUAUCCGGAGUGACUGGGUGUAAAGAGUUGCGUAGGUGGGAUAAUAAGUAGCGAGUGAAAUCUGGUGGCUCAACCAUUCAGACUAUUAGCUAAACUGUUAAGCUCGAGACUGUUAGGGGUAACUGGAAUUGCUAGUGUAGGAGUGAAAGCCGGAGAUAUUAGAAGGAACACCGAUAGCGUAGGCAGGUUGCUGGGACGGUUCUGACACUAAGGCACGAAAGCGUAGGGAGCAAACGGGAUUAGAUACCCUUGUAGUC
rnacentral:rRNA from 1 species